GUGAUUUUGUUCUUGUUUUUACAUAUAGAGCUUAUCUAUGAAAGAUUUAAAUUAAUGCUUGAUAACUGAAAGCAGAUGAACUCCAAAGAUUAAAUUCUGGAAAGUUAGCUGCUGUGUGUGCUGCGCAGUGUGCUUCUGGCCUGUGAGGAGCUGGGAGUGGGAGCUGCGGCCCAGAGCGCACCGUCAGCGCCAGGGGGGCUUGCAGACAGUGGGCCUGGCUUAGUCAUGGGCUAAACAGGGAAGAAGAUUAAAAUAGACAUUCUAAUAGAGGUUGAAAAUGAAGAACUGUUCAGGACUAUCAUUGAUUUAAGACAGAAGAAAUCACAUAGAUGAACCUAAAUUGAUAGUACUCAAGGAAGUUGGAUAUGCGGAAUGAGCAUUUUAUAAUCUUCUGUGAACGCUUUUAGUAACUACAGAUGUUUCAGGUAUUUCACAGUUUGGAACAGCCAGUAUCUAGACUUCAUACAUAUAAAUGUGUUUUAAAAUGCAGAAGUUAAGAAAAAUUAUAAUGUAUCUGAUGUCUUGCUUAAUAGUAUUCACUAGUGCUUGCCUUUAAUUUGUAGGACAGUAUUGUUUAGGUUACAUUAACCUGAAAUUAAAGCAUAAUUGUUAGGAUUCAGGCCUGUGUUAUUAGUAUAUAAUUAAAAUCUAUACUGUAUUAGUGCUGUCAU
rnacentral:lncRNA from 1 species